rnacentral:rRNA from 1 species
GACGAACGCUGGCGGCGUGCUUAACACAUGCAAGUCGAACGAAGUGGCGAAUGGGUGAGUAAUACGUGAGUAACCUGCCCUCCUUUUUGGGAUAAGCCUUUGAAACGGGGUCUAAUACCGAAUAAAGGGGGAUGGGCUCGCGGCCUAUCAGCGUGUUGGUGGGGUGAUGUCCUACCAAGGCUGUGACGGGUAGCCGUCCUGAGCGGGUGACCGGCCACAGUGGGAUUGGGCUACGGUCCAGACUCUUACGGGAGGCAGCAGUGGGGGAUAUUUCACAAUGGGCGAAAGCCUGAUGCAGCGACGUCGCGUGGGGGAUGAAGGCUUUCGGGUUGUAACCAUCUUGCGAUAUUGAACGGGUAGGUGGAGAAGAAGCGCCUGCUAACUACGUGACAGCAGCCGCGGUAAUAC